rnacentral:rRNA from 1 species
UAGGGAAUCUUCGGCAAUGGACGAAAGUCUGACCGAGAAACGCCGCGUGAGUGAAGAAGGUUUUCGGAUCGUAAAACUCUGUUGUUAGAGAAGAACAAGGACGUUAGUAACUGAACGUCCCCUGACGGUAUCUAACCAGAAAGCCACGGCUAACUACGUGCCAGCAGCCGCGGUAAUACGUAGGUGGCAAGCGUUGUCCGGAUUUAUUGGGUGUAAAGCGAGCGCAGGCGGUUUCUUAAGUCUGAUGUGAACGCCCCCGGCUCAACCGGGGAGGGUCAUUGGAAACUGGGAGACUUGAGUGCAGAAGAGGAGAGUGGAAUUCCAUGUGAAGCGGUGAAAUGCGUAGAUAUAUGGAGGAACACCAGUGGCGAAGGCGGCUCUCUGGUCUGUAACUGACGCUGAGGCUCGAAAGCGUGGGGAGCAAACAG